rnacentral:rRNA from 1 species
UACGUAGGUGGCAAGCGUUGUCCGGAAUUAUUGGGCGUAAAGAGCUCGUAGGCGGUCUGUCGCGUCUGCUGUGAAAACUCAGGGCUUAACCCUGAGCUUGCAGUGGGUACGGGCAGACUAGAGUGCGGUAGGGGAGACUGGAAUUCCUGGUGUGGCGGUGAAAUGCGCAGAUAUCAGGAGGAACACCGGUGGCGAAGGCGGGUCUCUGGGCCGUAACUGACGCUGAGGAGCGAAAGCAUGGGGAGCGAACAGG